rnacentral:lncRNA from 1 species
GGUUCCGGGGACUUCUGGGAAAAGGGAAAUCCUAGAGACGGAAAGCGGAAGCGGCGCGUCCCGAGGCAUUCUGGGAGUCGCAGUUCGUCCGGGGCAACUUCUGCCUCUCAGGCUGGUUGCAGCCGGCGCCCCGGGCCAGCGCAGCCUGGGCCCCAGCCAUCCUGCCCCCUCUCCGGCCGGGAGAAGCGGGCGCUGGGCUCUGGGGCUCCCUGAGCCCGCGGAGGCCAGCGCCCAGGGCGCACAAGAAGAGCAGGGGUGGAAGAAGAAAGGAAUUUCAAGGAGGGCAUUGCUUAAAGGGACGUUUGGACAGAGCCAGUUUCGGUGCUGGGCCGCAGCUCAGUGCCUAAUUUUAAUCUCAGGACUGCAGCCUGCGACCCGUGGACGGUCUCCUCAAACUUCUUCCCUCACACCCGAGUCUCUUCCUCCCUAG